rnacentral:rRNA from 1 species
UACGUAGGCAGCGAGCGUUGUUCGGAGUUACUGGGCGUAAAGCGUGCGUAGGCGGUGUCCUAAGUCUGGUGUGAAAUCUCCCGGCUCAACCGGGAGGGUGCGCCGGAAACUGGGAUGCUGGAGUGCGGGAGAGGCAAGCGGAAUUCCUGGUGUAGCGGUGAAAUGCGUAGAUAUCAGGAGGAACACCUGUGGUGUAGACGGCUUGCUGGACCGCCACUGACGCUGAGGCACGAAAGCGUGGGGAGCAAACAGGAUUAGAAACCCCAGUAGUCC